GACGAACGCUGGCGGCGUGCUUAACACAUGCAAGUCGAACGAAGUGGCGAACGGGUGAGUAACGCGUAAUCAACCUGCCCUUCAGAGGGGGAUAACCGUUGGAAACGACUGCUAAUACCGCAUACUGAAGGAGGGGAUUGCGUCUGAUUAGCUAGUGGGAGGGGUAACGGCCCACAAAGGCGAUGAUAAGUAGCCGGGCUGAGUGAUUGAACUGCCACAUUGGGACUGUGAAACGGUCCAGACUCCUACGGGAGGCAGCAGUGGGGAAUCUGCCGCAAUGGACGAAAGUCUGACGGAGCAACGCCGCGUGAGUGAUGACGGCCUUCGGGUUGUAAAGCUCUGUUAAUCGGGACGCGGUACCGGAAUAGAAAGCCACGGCUAACUACGUGCCAGCAGCCGCGGUAAUUC
rnacentral:rRNA from 1 species